AUUGAACGCUGGCGGCAUGCCUUACACAUGCAAGUCGAACGGUAACGCGGGGCAACCUGGCGACGAGUGGCGAACGGGUGAGUAACGCAUCGGAACGUGCCCAAUAGUGGGGGAUAGCCCGGCGAAAGCCGGAUUAAUACCGCAUACGACCUAAGGGUGAAAGCGGGGGACCGUAAGGCCUCGCGCUAUUGGAGCGGCCGAUGUCAGAUUAGGUAGUUGGUGGGGUAAAAGCCCACCAAGCCGACGAUCUGUAGCUGGUCUGAGAGGACGACCAGCCACACUGGGACUGAGACACGGCCCAGACUCCUACGGGAGGCAGCAGUGGGGAAUUUUGGACAAUGGGCGCAAGCCUGAUCCAGCCAUGCCGCGUGCGGGAUGAAGGCC
rnacentral:rRNA from 1 species